UUGUUCGCUGUCCAUCGGG
rnacentral:misc_RNA from 1 species